ACAACCCCUAAGGAGAGACAUGUUGACACUUUCAUUUGGCAACAUCUGUAGAAUUUGAACCUCAUAAACAUGCAAUGUGGAAUUUGUAUCUCAAAGAAGUAUACAUACUUAUCAGGUUUAAUUAGCACAUAAACAUGCAAUGUGCAAUUUGUAUCUCAAAGAAGUAUACAUACUUAUCAGGUUUAAUUAGCACACAGAAGCCAAAUGCUAGUAGCUCAUGAUUAGUACACAAGACAGGAUUCAACAAAGUAAACAAGAAGGUGGCUACAGUACAAAACUAAGCUCAUCACACAGAAUAAAAUGAUAUUAAAGUAAGCUCAACAUAAGC
rnacentral:lncRNA from 1 species